AUGAACGCUGGCGGCGUGCCUCAUCCCUGCCAGUCGCGCGAACAGACGAGGAGCUUGCUCCUCUGACGUUAGCGGCGGACGGGUGAGUAACACGUGGAUAACCUACCUAUAAGACUGGGAUAACUUCGGGAAACCGGAGCUAAUACCGGAUAAUAUAUUGAACCGCAUGGUUCAAUAGUGAAAGACGGUUUUGCUGUCACUUAUAGAUGGAUCCGCGCCGCAUUAGCUAGUUGGUAAGGUAACGGCUUACCAAGGCAACGAUGCGUAGCCGACCUGAGAGGGUGAUCGGCCACACUGGAACUGAGACACGGUCCAGACUCCUACGGGAGGCAGCAGUAGGGAAUCUUCCGCAAUGGGCGAAAGCUUGACGGAGCAACGCCGCGUGAGUGAUGAAGGUCUUCGGAUCGUAAAACUCUGUUAUUAGGGAAGAACAAAUGUGUAAGUAACUAUGCACGUCUUGACGGUACCUAAUCAGAAAGCCACGGCUAACUACGUG
rnacentral:rRNA from 1 species